rnacentral:rRNA from 1 species
GAUGGACCCGCGUUGGAUUAGCUAGUUGGUGAGGUAACGGCCCACCAAGGCGACGAUCCAUAGCCGGCCUGAGAGGGUGAACGGCCACAUUGGGACUGAGACACGGCCCAGACUCCUACGGGAGGCAGCAGUGGGGAAUAUUGCACAAUGGGGGAAACCCUGAUGCAGCGACGCCGCGUAAAGGAAGAAGUAUCUCGGUAUGUAAACUUCUAUCAGCAGGGAAGAAAAUGACGGUACCUGACUAAGAAGCCCCGGCUAACUACGUGCCAGCAGCCGCGGUAAUACGUAGGGGGCAAGCGUUAUCCGGAUUUACUGGGUGUAAAGGGAGCGUAGACGGAUGGACAAGUCUGAUGUGAAAGGCUGGGGCUCAACCCCGGGACUGCAUUGGAAACUGCCCGUCUUGAGUGCCGGAGAGGUAAGCGGAAUUCCUAGUGUAGCGGUGAAAUGCGUAGAUAUUAGGAGGAACACCAGUGGCGAAGGCGGCUUACUGGACGGUAACUGACGCUGAGGCACGAAGGCCAGGGGAGCGAAAGGGAUUAGAUACCCCUGUAGUCCUGGCAGUAAACGGUGCACGCUUGGUGUGCGGGGAAUCGACCCCCUGCGUGCCGGAGCUAACGCGUUAAGCGUGCCGCCUGGGGAGUACGGUCGCAAGAUUAAAACUCAAAGAAAUUGACGGGGACCCGCACAAGCGGUGGAGUAUGUGGCUUAAUUCGAUGCAACGCGAAGAACCUUACCUGGGCUUGACAUGUAAUGAACAACAUGUGAAAGCAUGCGACUCUUCGGAGGCGUUACACAGGUGCUGCAUGGCCGUCGUCAGCUCGUGUCGUGAGAUGUUUGGUUAAGUCCAGCAACGAGCGCAACCCCUGUUGCCAGUUACCAGCACGUGAAGGUGGGGACUCUGGCGAGACUGCCCAGAUCAACUGGGAGGAAGGUGGGGACGACGUCAGGUCAGUAUGGCCCUUAUGCCCAGGGCUGCACACGUACUACAAUGCCCAGUACAGAGGGGGCCGAAGCCGCGAGGCGGAGGAAAUCCUGAAAACUGGGCCCAGUUCGGACUGUAGGCUGCAACCCGCCUACACGAAGCCGGAAUCGCUAGUAAUGGCGCAUCAGCUACGGCGCCGUGAAUACGUUCCCGGGUCUUGCACUCACCGCCCGUCA